rnacentral:rRNA from 1 species
CAGGCCUAACACAUGCAAGUCGAACGAGACCUUCGGGUCUAGUGGCGCACGGGUGCGUAACACGUGGGAAUUUGCCUCGGGGUAUGGAAUAACUCAGGGAAACUUGAGCUAAUACCAUAUAAUGUCUUCGGACCAAAGAUUUAUCGCCCUGAGAUAAGCCCGCGUAGGAUUAGCUAGUUGGUGGGUAAAGGCUCACCAAGGCGACGAUCCUUAGCUGGUCUGAGAGGAUGAUCAGCCACACUGGGACUGAGACACGGCCCAGACUCCUACGGGAGGCAGCAGUGGGAAUAUUGGACAAUGGGCGAAAGCCUGAUCCAGCAAUGCCGCGUGAGUGAUGAAGGCCUUCGGGUUGUAAAGCUCUUUACUCGGGACGAUAAUGACGGUACCGAGAGAAUAAGCCCCGGCUAACUCCGUG